rnacentral:rRNA from 1 species
CAGUCGAACGGGAUCCAUCGGGCUUUGCUUGGUGGUGAGAGUGGCGAACGGGUGAGUAAUGCGUGACCGACCUGCCCCAUGCUCCGGAAUAGCUCCUGGAAACGGGUGGUAAUGCCGGAUGUUCCACAUGAUCGCAUGUGAUUGUGGGAAAGAUUCUAUCGGCGUGGGAUGGGGUCGCGUCCUAUCAGCUUGUUGGUGAGGUAACGGCUCACCAAGGCUUCGACGGGUAGCCGGCCUGAGAGGGCGACCGGCCACAUUGGGACUGAGAUACGGCCCAGACUCCUACGGGAGGCAGCAGUGGGGAAUAUUGCACAAUGGGCGCAAGCCUGAUGCAGCGACGCCGCGUGAGGGAUGGAGGCCUUCGGGUUGUAAACCUCUUUUGUUUGGGAGCAAGCCUUCGGGUGAGUGUACCUUUCGAAUAAGCGCCGGCUAACUACGUGCCAGCAGCCGCGGUAAUACGUAGGGCGCAAGCGUUAUCCGGAUUUAUUGGGCGUAAAGGGCUCGUAGGCGGCUCGUCGCGUCCGGUGUGAAAGUCCAUCGCUUAACGGUGGAUCUGCGCCGGGUACGGGCGGGCUGGAGUGCGGUAGGGGAGACUGGAAUUCCCGGUGUAACGGUGGAAUGUGUAGAUAUCGGGAAGAACACCGAUGGCGAAGGCAGGUCUCUGGGCCGUCACUGACGCUGAGGAGCGAAAGCGUGGGGAGCGAACAGGAUUAGAUACCCUGGUAGUCCACGCCGUAAACGGUGGACGCUGGAUGUGGGGCACGUUCCACGUGUUCCGUGUCGGAGCUAACGCGUUAAGCGUCCCGCCUGGGGAGUACGGCCGCAAGGCUAAAACUCAAAGAAAUUGACGGGGGCCCGCACAAGCGGCGGAGCAUGCGGAUUAAUUCGAUGCAACGCGAAGAACCUUACCUGGGCUUGACAUGUUCCCGACGACGCCAGAGAUGGCGUUUCCCUUCGGGGCGGGUUCACAGGUGGUGCAUGGUCCGUCGUCAGCUCGUGUCGUGAGAUGUUGGGUUAAGUCCCGCAACGAGCGCAACCCUCGCCCCGUGUUGCCAGCACGUUAUGGUGGGAACUCACGGGGGACCGCCGGGGUUAACUCGGAGGAAGGUGGGGAUGACGUCAGAUCAUCAUGCCCCUUACGUCCAGGGCUUCACGCAUGCUACAAUGGCCGGUACAGCGGGAUGCGACAUGGCGACAUGGAGCGGAUCCCUGAAAACCGGUCUCAGUUCGGAUCGGAGCCUGCAACCCGGCUCCGUGAAGGCGGAGUCGCUAGUAAUCGCGGAUCAGCAACGCCGCGGUGAAUGCGUUCCCGGGCCUUGUACACACCGCCCGUCAAGUCAUGAAAGUGGGCAGCACCCGAAGCCGGUGGCCUAACCCCUUGUGGGAUGGAGCCGUCUAAGGUGAGGCUCGUG